AUGAACUGCUUUUAUUGCCGUUUAAUAGACUGGCAGCUUUUCUUUAGUGAACUUGCCCUGCUAACAGGUGUUGAUCCUUCUGGGAGAUGCAGUGAUGACUCACUGCAGCAGAUGGGGCUCCUGAACUCUACCCUGCUUGCACCAGAGAUAGGAGAGCCUCUCUGGAAGACAGAUGGGUUAGUUUUACUAGGACGGAGAACAUACACAGUUAGAAGACAAUCCAGAAGAACAGUGAAGAUUUUUCUGUGUGCACUCUUCAUUCUGUCACUGCCCAAUUUUUCUCACCACAGUGCUAGACUCAUCCUUUAUUGCACCGGUGUAUUGUAUUCUGAAGAAGAUAUUGUAUUGUUCUGUCAAUACAGCAUGUUCCUUCAAGCUCAGUGUAUCUUUUUGGUAAAUAAUAUAUAUAAAGCCUCGGCCCUUUUUCAUUUGUGCUAUUAUUGAUUUUUUAUUGAGUCCUCAGAAUUUCCAAUAGUUCUUCAUCACAAGCUCAACUUACAAGGCACAGUUUGAGAUUUAAAAAAAUGUAAAAUUGAAAUAAAUAAAUAAAUAAAUAAUCUUGAAUAACCUUC
rnacentral:lncRNA from 1 species